rnacentral:lncRNA from 10 species
GGAUGAGAUAUCAAAUAUUAGCUGGAAUUGCUGGAGUAGAAGCUAUGAUAAAACAUACAUAAUAUGAAAUUUUCCAACUUAAGCACUUCUAAGUGUACACAUAGUACUGCUAGGUACACAAUCUUAAGCAACCAAUCUCCAGAACUUUUUCUGCUUUAAAGUUAAAACUCUAUGCUGAUUAAACAACAACUUUUUAUUUUAUGGAGUCCUUUUCACGUGGUAGCCACCAUUCUACUUUCUUUUCUUUUCUUUUUUUUUUUUUAAUGAAUUUGACUAGUUUAGAUACCUUAUAAAGAGGAAUUACAGUGUUUGUCUUUUUGUGACUUAUUAACUUAGCCUAAUGAUACCAAGUUUCAUCCACAUUGUAGCAUAAACCACAUAGUGUCUGUCUGUUCAUUCCUUGGUAGAUGCUGGGAUUGUACUGUUAUGAAUAUGGAUGCGCAAAUAUGCCUUUGAGAGCCUGAUUUUAAUUCUUAUGGAUAAAUAUCCAGAAGGGGGAUUGCUGCAUCAUAUGCUGCUGUGAAAAGGGUUGAAUUCUUGAUUUGAUUCUCAGCUUGAAGUCUGCAUAGCCAAAGCAAGACUAAGCAAAAAGAACAAAUCUGGAGGUAUCACAUUACCCAACUUCAAACUACUACAGAGCUGUAGCUACUGAAACAUGAUGGCAAAGGUAUAAAAACAGACAUGUAGACCAAUGGAACAACAUAGAGAAUCCAGAAAUAAAAUUGAAUACUUAUAGCCAUCUGAUCUUUGACAAAACAAACAAAAACAUAAAGCGGAGAAAGGACAGCCUAUUCAACCAUUGGUGCUGGGAUAAUUGACAAGCCACAUGUAGUAGAAUGGUACUGAAUUCACAUCUCUCACCUUAUAAGAUAGAUGAAGGAAUUAAAUCUAAGACCUGAAACAAUAAAAAUUCUAGAAGAUAACAUCAGAAAGUCUUUUCUAGACAUUGGCUUAGACAAGGACUUCAUGACCAAGAACCCAAAAGCAAAUACAACAAAAACAAACAUAGAUCGACGUGACUUAAACUAAAAAUCUUCUGCACAGCAAAAGAAAUAAUCAGCUGAGUAAACAGACAACUCACAGAGUGGGAGAAAAUAUUCACAAACUAUGCAUCUGACAAAUGACUAAUAUUCAGAAUCUACAAAGAGUUUGAACAAAUCGACAAGAGGAAAACAAAUAAUAUGAUCAAAAAGUAGGCUAAGAUCAUGAAUUGACAAUUCUCAAAAGAAAAUAUACAAAUGGCCAACAAACAGAAAAAAAUGCUCAACAUCACUAAUUAUCAUGGAAAUGCAAAUCAAAACCACAAUGCAAUACCACUGUCCUCCUGUAAGAAUGGACAUCAUUAAAAAACCCCAAAAUAAUAUAAUAUUGGCAUGGAUGUGGUAAAAGGAAACACAUAAACUAGCACAACCACUACAGAAAACAGUAUGGAGAUUCCUUAAAGAACUAAAAGUAGAUCUACAUUUUUACCCACCUAUCCUAUUACUGGGUAUCUACCCAUAAAAAAAGAAGUCAUUAUAUGCAAAGACUCAUGCACACACAUCUUUACAGCAGUACAAUUCCCAAUUGUAAAAAUAUGGAACAAACCUAAAUGCCCAUCAAGCAAUGGGUGUAUUAAAAAAAUGUGGUAUACACACACACACACACCGUGGAAUACUACUCAGCCAUAAAAAGGAACAAAAUAAUGCCAUUCAUAGCAACCUGGAUGCAGCUGGAGACCAUUAUUCUAAGUGAAGUAAUUCAGGAUUAGUUCUAGCAAACUUCCAGACACAAAACAUACAACAUUUUGUGAUGAUAAAUAUCACAGUUGCCACAUAGUCCAGCAGGAACCCAAUCAUAUCCAAAGAGUGGUACUGGAACCAGGCAGGAGUGUGAUGGCAUGAUCUUGGCUCACUGCAUCCUCUGCCUCCGAGGUUCAAGCGAUGGCUCACGCCUGUAAUCCCAGCACUUUGGGAUGCCAAGGCGGGUGGAUGAUCUGAGGUCAGGAAUUCGAGACCAGUCUGACCAACACAGUGAAACCUCAUCUCUACUAAAAAUACAAAAUUGGCCAGGCAUGGUGGUGCAUGCUUGUAUUCCCAGCUACUCAGGAGUCUGAGGUGGAGCUUUAAAUUUUUUGAAGUGUAUAUUUUUAAUUUCCAAAAUUAAAAGUAUUUUAGUUAUCAUUUUUCCAAUAUCCCUUACUUCCACUUAGGCUGAAUCAUUUACUCUUUAUGAUAUUGAAUCUUUUCAAAUUUACUGAGUCUUGAUUUAUGGCCCACCACAAGUCACUUCAAAUAACUAUUAAUAAUUCAACAUGCUCUAAGAAAAUGUGUCUUCCAGUUGACAUAUAUAGUACAUAUGUGUGUGUGCAUAUAUAUAUAUGUAUAUAUAUGCGUGUGUGUAUCAUGUUACAUUAUAAGUUUCCAUUUGUUAACUGUGUUCUUCUAACGUUUUAUGUCCUUAUUCAUUAUUUGCUUCUCUUUUUAAAGUCUGUUUAGAUUUAAUGGAAGUAUCUGUAUAUUCACAUUUAAAUAAACCACGUUGUUUGAUGUUUCUUUUAUAUUGGUCCAACCUGUUUCAUGGUACAACCUGUUUUAAAAGUAUUCCUUUAGGUGACAUCUUUCUUACAUAAAAAUAUUAUUGACAGCAGUUAUAAAUGCUGAAUGGAUGGUAGCUGGACUGGGUAGGCAUUUUGCACAUUGCAUCCUAUGGAGUA